rnacentral:lncRNA from 1 species
UAUAAUAACCUCUUUAAAUCUUUCGAUUAAUCAAUAUAUCAAAAUAACUGAAUACAAUAGGAGGCUUAAGAAGCCUAUUUAUAAUAAAGCAUAAAACCCUAAAACUAAGAAUAUUCUAUAAUAAUUAUAAUAGAUAAAUUAAGAGAUAAUAAUAAGAGAUAUUUGGAAUAUCUCGCUGCAUCAGGUCUCGCCGGCCAAGAAAAGAUUCGUCCUCGAAUCUUGUAUCUGCGCUGCAUCAGCUCCCGCCGGCCAAGAAAGAUUCGCCCUCGAAUCUUCAGCAGAUUUUUCAGCAAAAGAGAUCUUUGUAGAUCCAUCUUUAUCUCUGUCAAUUGAUUUUGCUCGAUUUUUGCACAAUCCCGGUUUGAUACGAAAUUUCCACGAACUGUAACUGACCCAAAAUUUGCACGAACCAGAUCUGACCCAAAAAUUGCACGAACCGGAUCUGACCAAAAUUUCGCACAAAUCACCUCCUCGACAGAUGCACAGGUCGGAACUUGCAUGAAACUUGCACAAAUCAGUGGUUUCAUGAUUUCUACAGAAAACCCAAAUUUUGCACGGAUCUGAUUUCGCCCGAACUUUGCACAAAUCAGAUCGUCUUCAUAAACAUCAUAGAUCGGAUCACCAACAAUUUCUCUGUAGAUCUGGUGGUUCUCCUCUCUCUCGAUAAAAGGACUUUCGUCCAUGAUAGGGUAGAUGCAAUCACUUGCCAUGUGAUAACCAGAAUCGUUCAUUGAUUAAGAAAUCAAAGAGACACAGCUCUGAUACCAAAUGGUGGAGAGCGGAAGCGAUAAAAAGGAUAAAUUUGGGAAUACUCUUCCCCGUGCUCGAAAGCUCGUUUAUAAAGGAGAAAUCUCUCAACUUUAUUAAUCAAAAUCAAUAUCAAUCAUCAAACUUUCCUAAAAGUGUCUAUUUAUAAUAAACCUUAAAACCCUAAUACAGUAAAACCUCUAUAAAUUAAUAAUGUUGGGACCAUGAAAAUCUAUUAAUUUAUAGAGGUUUUAAUUUAUCGAUAAAUUAAUAAUUAUUAAUUCAUAGAGAGAUUUUCCUAAUUUGGAAAGUUUUUUCAAAAAGAUAUUUAAAAAUAAGAUUUAGUCAUGAUAAUUAGUAUUUUAUAUAAUCAUUAACAAAGAAAAUAAUAAUUAUUAUGUCUUGAAAGAGAAUUUUAACAACUUUUAUAUAGUAAAAUAUUAGAGAUAAACUCUAACAAAAAAUAUUGUGUCUAUAUACACAUAUAUUUUGAAAAUUUUACCUAAUUAUUAAUUUAUAAUAUUGAUGGGACCAUAUAUUUACAAAGGAUUUUCAAAAAAAAUAUUAUCUUAUUAUUUUAUCGAAAUGUGUCUAAAAUUGCACUGGUCCCAACUUGGGACCGGAGAAAUUUAUUAAUUUAUAGAGAUUAUUAAUUUAUCGAGUAUUAAUUUAUAGAGGUUUUACUGUACUUGUAAUAUUCUAAAAUAAUAAUAAAUAAUUAGCUAAAGAUAAUAACUAAAGAUAUUUGAGAAUAUUUGGAAAUAUUUCAAAUAUCUUGUUGCAUCAGGUAAUGGUGGAGAGCGGAAGCGAUAAAAAGGAUAAAUUUGGGAAUACUCUUCCCCGUGCUCGAAAGCUCGUUUAUAAAGGAAAAACCUCUCAACUUUAUUAAUCAAAAUCAAUAUCAAUCAUCAAAUUUUCCUAAAAGUCUCUAUUUAUAAUAAAACUUAAAACCCUAAUACUUGGAAUAUUCUAAAAUAAUAAUAAAUAAUUAACUAAAGAUAAUAACUAAAGAUAUUUGAGAAUAUUUGGAAAUAUUUCAAAUAUCUUGUUGCAUCAGGUCUCGCCGGCCAAGAAAAGAUUCGUCCUCGAAUCUUGUAUCUGCGCUGCAUCAGCUCCCACCGGCCAAGAAAGAUUCGCCCUCGAAUCUUCAGCAGGGUGUUCAACAAGGAAAAUCUUCGCAGAUCCAUUUUAAUAACUAACUUUUGAUUUUGCACAAAUUUUGCACGAAUCCGGUUUGACCCGAAAUUUGCACGAACCGUAUCUUGCCCGAAAUUUGCACGAACCGUAUCUUGCCCGAAAUUUGCACAUAUCCGAUUUCGCCCGGUAUCUGCACAAAGCAGAUUCACAAAAUCUUUCUCUUUCAAGACGAACUCUGAAACCAUGCUGUCAUCUUCAUCACCAUCGUUUCCAUCAUCAUCCUCAUCAACAACAUCACCAUCUUUGUUAUCGCCUUCAACAACUUCAUCAUCAACAUCGUCUUCAACAUCGGGUUUAACAUCUUCAUUGAAUCGAUGGUUAUCACGAGGAAAAACUUGUUGUUGUUGUUGCAGUCGAUCAAUCAAUUGAAGCUGAGCUUGAAAGUGUACCUCAAGGGCUCUAGCAAGAUUCUGUGUAAAAUCCAGUAAUGCUUGUCGUAAAGCAUCAUGUAGUCCGUUUUGUUGGUCUUGCAAAUUCUUUGGAGGCAUCAUGAAAAGAACCGUUUUGGCUCUGAUA